rnacentral:lncRNA from 1 species
CUCAUUAGAGUAAUUGUCGUUGCAGGGGAUUUAGCCUGGACUGGUAAUCCCGACAAUACUCUGUGAGUUUAUAUUACAGGGGAUUUAGCUUGGACUGGUAAUCCCGCUGUAAGGAUGAGAUUCGCGGGAGUGUGCUCUCUGAAAUGGAAAUGUGCGCACAUGAAUAUGAAUUGACGGACCCGGAUUUGUACACUUAGGUGUACCCCUGAAUAUCCAUCGAAAUUCCAAGUAGUUCAACGGGAUAAAUAUGGAAAAAUAACAA